rnacentral:rRNA from 1 species
UACAGAGGUCUCAACCGUUGUUCGGAUUCAUUGGGCGUAAAGGGUGCGUAGGCGGUCGGGUAAGUCGGAUGUGAAAUCUCAGGGCUCAACCCUGAAACUGCAUUCGAUACUGCCUGGCUAGGGUACUGGAGAGGAGACUGGAAUUUACGGUGUAGCAGUGAAAUGCGUAGAUAUCGUAAGGAAGACCAGUGGCGAAGGCGAGUCUCUGGACAGUUACCGACGCUGAGGCACGAAGGUCAGGGAGCAAACGGG